UUAAACAGAAGCAGUGUGGUAGGUAUAGAAAACUGAGUAUAAUUUCUACUCUUUGAUAUUGUAAUUACUCUAAUCCAUAUAGCCAACAUGAAGGCAGGUAGGUGUUUUGCAGAUCUUUCUAUCCUCCGACCUUUUGCAUAUGUGAACUCAGAUCUCUGUAUAUCCAAGCAGAGAUAUCAUAAACAUCUACUCAGGUGGAAACUGGACUUUUAAGAACUAGUUUUAAUGUAAUUUUGUCCUUUGUGUAAAGUGUUUUUAAAAAUCUUGAAUUUAACAAAUACAUGAAGGACCCAACAUUCAUUUUCUCUGUCCAGAACAUUUGUUUCAUAGGCAUACAAGUCAGAUGAAAUAAAUAUUUGCUUUGGAGCUGUUAAGAUGUCACAUAUUUGUUAACUUAUGUGUGUGCUCUUUAUUAAAUCCAAUGCUUGGCAAAGCAUCAAUUCAGUUAGUAAUGUAAAUUUCCCCACACUGUGUUUUGUUCUGUAAGUGGUCCAAACUCAUAAAGCACAUUUUGCCCACUAUCUACCCGAAACCUGAGGUAAAAUUUACCUUCUUAAUCAGUCCAAAAAACCCUCAUGAUAUAGUAUCUAAAAUUUUCUAGUCUCCAAAAUAGCAUUUGAAUGUGUGUAUCAAUCAUGAUUAUAAUAUGGAGUCUAUGGCAUUGUAUUUAUGAUUUAUAUUAGAAAAACCCCAACAUAAUACAUGUUGCUAUUGCACUGUUUUGGGUAUAAUGCAAGCCAAGUGAUGUCACCCGGAAUGUAAGAACUCAAUGUAUUUAAUAAUGUCACAGCCAAUGUGUCUCAAAGUUAUUGCCAAUGAAAAAAGGGGAAAAAUGUUUUUACACGUAGAUAUAACAAAGGAAAAGUUUCCCUAAACAAUGCUUACCCUACUACAUGAAACAUUCUUUUAUGUGUGUAAACCCUCUACAUUGAUUUCAUGAUUCUACUAAAGGGUGACUGUUUGGAGCCAGUUAUCUCUAAGUCUCUGUUUCUGCUUGCCUUUCCAGCAGAGGCACUGACUCCAUUUUCAAGAACGCUAUCCUUUCAAGGAUGUUUGUACAGCAAACAGCCUUGAAAGACAGAGAACUAUCUUCCUCCAGAGAAAAGGACAACUUUGUUUCCUACACAUUAAAAUAAAGAUAAGGGCAGGCAGCCUUGCAGCCAAUUAUAAAAGUCUCAAGGUCCCUAAGCUCAAAGUUACGCUCCUCUGGACCCUCUGAGUGCCACUCUGUUGGAAGUGAGCCUUGAGAAACAAGUGCAAAUGCUGAGUCUGAAUGCCACAAUUGCUUUGUCUCUGAGCCAGGAGUCUUGUGUCUUCUGCCAGCAUCCAUGAAACUGGCAGGCUAACUGGUUAGCUGCAAGUCAGGUGAAAUCUCAGCCAAUAUUCCCACAUUAUCAAUUUAACCAUAAAGCCAAUUUUGCCAAUUUAUUUCUUCAUCUUAGUUAGUCUCAAAGCAAAUAGAGAAUGUCUUUUUUUCUGCAGCAUCUGCUUACUAAUACUAUAUGAUGCUACAAAGUGCCUUCCAGAAGCACCUAGUCUUUUAGCAGAACGAAAUCUCUUACUCAUCUGUCUUCACCCAGGAGCCUCCCUUAGACAGAGAGAGCUUCCUGCUUGUCCUUGGGACUUCCAUAGUUAGCAAAUCCGAUUGCUCUAGAUGGGUUUAUGUAAGAAGAUCUGUAGUAAUGGGAAACACCAGCAACAUACUCAGAAAUUUAGAUUCAUUCUGUGUCUCAGUGCUUCUAAAACUGUAAUAGCAGAUCAUGACGUGCUUCAAGAUGGACUCAUAGUCAUGUAAUAUACAACAGCAGUUCCAGUGACCCACGUUUUUUCUGUGCAUCCUGUUUACAUCAGCAAGGAAAGCUCUGAUUGGGUCACCGCUACUGGUAGUUACUUGGCAUGCCGUACUCCUCACUAUAUCCUCCUGGGUGUCUUCGGCUCUGGUCUAGUCAUUUCAGCCGGGGUAAGCAGGGUUAUUCUCGUUGAACAUCCAUACACGUGGCAAAAGCCAUAGCCACUUGAAGAAUAGCCUGAUGUUGCUCUCCUCUGCAGAGAGCCAUGGGCAGAUAGAGCCAUCAUCGCCUGUGUAUUACUGCCUCAAGUAACAUCUUACCAUCCUUAUACCUCACUACAAAGUUACAAAUACCUGCCAGGUAAACAUCAAAUUAGAAAACCCUAGAGGUUAAAACAAGAGAUAAUUUUGCUCCAUCCCUUGAUCUGGUAGGUAAGUUGAGUUACCCCAGAGCUAAGCCAGAUCAGAACCCCGGUUUUCCAUUUCCCAUUCUGCUUGAUUUCCACACAAUGCCCAUAUGUGGGCAACACAAUCCUUCUUGGGAAGGCAGCAAGACCCUUAGCCCCCCAAAUGCAGAGCCCACAUUUUCAGGCUCUGCCACAGUGCAUGCUCCGUGGCGUAGCAUGUUCUCUCUCUCUUCUCUCUCUGUUUCUCUCUCUCCCUUUUCCUCGCUCCCUCCCUUUCUGUCUAUGAAUUCAUUGAAUCACCUAGAUUUGCAUAUAACCUGAUUCGGAUUGCAUUUUUAAUGUUUCUCACUUCUUCCAUGCUUCUGCGUGAUACCACUUCAUUUUAAGAAGUCCCCGAUUGCUAUUUUAUGAAUCGCUUAGUACCAUGAACAAUCCCAAGGAACAAAUUCUCAGGUUUUAUAGCUCUUCGUGCUUUCCAAGCCAGCAUAUCACAGUCUCCAGGAGGCUUUCCUGAUGUAAGAAUGGACGCCAGGCUCUUUGUACGCGUUCCGGUAACCAACAGCACGGCCUCUGUCAUCGCGUGAUCCAAUCAUCUCAUCACUGCCUGAUGACAUGGCUGCCUCCCCUACUGAACUGCGAGCUCCUGGUGGGCAAGACCCCACAGCUUAUUCGGGGGUAAUGGAAUAAGGGUGACAACGUCCCAGACACAAAAUCUUACCAAAAUCUAACCAAAAGAUAAUAGGAGGAGAGGUAGGAGACAGAGUUGUCUGCACUGAAUUUCAACGGUGCAUCUCUUUGUCUUUAAGCUCAGACUGCUCUCUUUGCAGCCCCAGACAGAUGUCAAUUACAGUGGCUUCUCUUUGGAAACACAGAGCAAACUUUCUCUAUGCUGUCCACGGAGCAAGUCAACAAAGACGUUUUCACUGAAAUUCAAACACCGAGAGCAACAAAGAGACUAUAUACGUCCUCAAGAGAGGCGCUCGCCAGCCGUCUUUCCAGAACUACUGUCGGGAUCCGGGUCAAUGCCUCCCUUUCAUCAUCACCGUAGACCAGGAGCAUGAUAGGAGGAGAAAGAUGCGUGAGGAUCCAUUUAAAGCUAGUUGCUGAAUGCGGUGCUCAUCUUGACCACCUCCGAUCUCUGGCUCAGAAUGACAGGGGUUUGGAGGGAAGUGUUUAGAGGAAAAAAAAAAAUCCACGUGCCCCAGGUUUUAAGGUUAAGAGAUUUUCCUGCAUGGAGCGGCCUGGGCUCCUUGGGUUUUCUGUCCUAGACAAAGUAGCUGCCCAGAAAGCAGCCAGGCCAGGGCUCCCUUGAGGUGAUCCUGGCUGUGAGGACCGCCCCGCUGGCCACACCAAGGUGACUGUGACAGGGAGGCCUCGGGCAGACGCAGCUUCCAAGGCGGGCUGGAGAGCCCGUCACCCACAGCAGGGAAUACCCAGGGAAAUGAACUUGGUGUCCAGCAGAAGAGUGGGGAGAGAAGGCUUCGGAGAACUCACAAAAGCGCCCCAGGAGAGAAAAAGCCAGAAUUCGGGCUUCCGCGCCAUCCAGAGGGCGGGAGUGCCAGAUCAGGACAUCACCAUAUGAAGUCUUCCGUGGGCCACGGCUGGUUUUUCGCGGUUCAUCGGGAGAGUGGUCAGAGAAUGAAGGCCACGUGAGCCUCUCCCUCCUCCCUGUAGCUGUCUGGGUCCGAGGCCAGCCUGCAAGGUCUGGGGGUGAGAAAGCUUGACCCCAAUGCAAGACGUUGCUUCCUUCGACCUGCAUUUUCUCGGUUGCCCACAUACCAAGGGAGACGGUUGCCGGGGGUGUAUUUCAAACACGUCGGCUUACACGCACACCACGUUUUCCUUACAUUUAUACAGAUCACAGGGACAAUGGAAAGAAAAGCAAAACUGGGGGAGAGAGAGAAUGGGAAAUCGACAUGACAUGGGUAAGAAGGAGAGAGCUUGCCUCACGCCUGUGGGUCCAGCUAACGGGUUGAGUCUCAUGGUGGGUGUGCCCCCACUUUUCCAAAGAUUUACGACAUCAUUACCUGUUUUCGCUAACCAAGGAAAUCCAAAGAGAGCUUUUGUUUUUAUGGAAAAAAAAAAAAAAGAAAAAAAAAGGUGAAAAGCGAGAUGAGUCUUUGGCAUCAUUUGGCACCUGUUGGGCCUUUGUGGAGGCAGCGUGCACCCGAGCAGGGAGACUGGCUCCGCCAAGCUCCUUCCCCAGGAACCACACGCGGCAUCUCAGAGCCCAGCCGCCAGAGCUCUGGACUGUGUCUAUGAGCAUCGGUGCUUUAUCUCGAUUUCUUUUGUUCAUCUGUUAGCAAGAUGUGUCCUAAGGUAUAAGAAAAGCCUAAGAGGGCUUAUUGUUUUGCGUCUGGGAGCACUCGAAGAAUUUUCCAUGGAAGUUAAUGACAACUGCUUCUUCCCUUUAUGGCUAUUUUGGUUUAUGAAAGGUUUUGUGGGAAUGCUCUAGGUUCAGACGGUGGGGGUGGGGUGACCUGCACUUCCCAGCAAGCUGCUUGAACGGGUCGUAACUGAAGACGGGCAGGAUCUAACUGUAACCUUUACCAAAGUCAGUUACGACUUUGUGCACCUGGUUUUGCAAUUUUUCGACGUACAGCCGCUUUCAUUAGGCAGGAAGCUGGGCAUGAGCGACAGGAGGAUGGACAGCCCCAACCCAGGACCGCCCGGGGACCACCCGUGGCACCCAUCUGGCAGCGGGUCUGUGGGCACAACAUCCCGGCCCAGGGAGAGUUAACUUUGAUAUGCUUGUUGUGCUUAUGCAGACCUGACCUAUGUCCCUAGAAUAGACAAAAUGUUGCGAUUUCCUACCCCAUGCAGGUAUUUUAAAUACAUCUUGGGAAAGGACAUGGACUGUUGGCUAAUUAUUAUAUAAUCCAGGGCUGUCACUCAAAUGUUGCAACCCUAGAAGCCAGGGGAAAAGCGAAACUGAUAGAAGCCCACACCCUAGAGUUUCUAGGGCCUUUGUCUCUCCUCACUUGACCUGCUCCUCCCUUGGAGUGUCCUUUUAAUAACAGGUUGCUCAGCUGUACUUUCCUUUCCCUGUCCUGGAAGUCUUUACUGUGGCAAGGGAAAGGACCAGGGCUUCGUUCCUUUUCCAUCUAACUCUCGGUAACACUUUGAGGAAUCUAAAUAUUUCAUUCACCUCAAUAUUGGAAGAUAUUGUGAGAGGCUUACUAAGUGUCGAUCUCCAAAACCAGAACUCCAUGAAAGAGACAUGACAUCCCAGGGCUGUGAGACGAAGUGGUAAAGCAAGAAAAAGGCCAGGUGAGGGUGCCAGGUCUGGGUGGGUGGCUUAGUGGCUUAGACAUCCUACCGACUCUUGGUGUCAGCUCAAGUCGUGAUCUCACAGUUUGUGGGUUUGAGCCCCACAUCAGGCUCUGUGCUGACCGUGCGGAGGCUUCUUGGGA